UUAAGCGAAUAAGCGUACACGGUGGAUGCCUAGGCAAUCAGAGGCGAUGAAGGACGUGCUAAUCUGCGAAAAGCGUCGGUAAGGUGAUAUGAACCGUUAUACCCGACGAUAUCCGAAUGGGGAAACCCAGUAUCCAAUGGAUACUAUCAUUAACUGAAUCCAUAGGUUAAUGAGGCGAACCGGGAGAACUGAAACAUCUCAGUACCCCGAGGAAAAGAAAUCAACCGAGAUUCCCCUAGUAGCGGCGAGCGAACGGGGAGCAGCCCAGAGUCUUAAUCAAUA
rnacentral:rRNA from 1 species